UCUUUAUCUCUACAAAACAAAAACAACUUUCGACCGCAGCGGAACAACUGAAAAGCGAGCGGACGAAAACGCAAUCGAGGAAACCGCCGCGUGUGAUCAAAAAUUGAAGUUAAACAAAUUCGGAGGGAAGCUGCGAGGCGGAAGAGUUAAAAAAUAGUAAUAAAAUAAAAAAAGGAAAAACUGCCACCGUCGCGUCGCUGCUCAAUAAUUUGUGCAUCUUUUAAGUUCUUCACAAUGUCCUCAAAUCUCAUUUAAAUAAGUAAAAAGUGUAAUAAGCGACGUGAACAGCACGCAGCGAAAAGAAUAGCGUUGAAUAGAAGACACGCCAAACAGCAACAAAUGGCCAACAAUUGAAUGGCGGCCAUCAGUGGCCCCCAGCGGCGUCCAUUGAGCAAUCAACACCAUUUCUCCCACAUCAAAUCAAGCACCACCACCACCGCUGCCGCCACCUCAGCCGCCACCACUACCACCACCACCACCACCACCACCGUACCCACUUUGGGAACCAGAACCACAGUCCAAAGCCCAGUCCAAGCCACCACCAGCACCACAACAACAACAACACUGAGGAGCUCCAUCGGCAACAAAUACCAGAACCAGAACCAGAACCGGGUGCAGCUGCUCGAAUUAUUUGGCAAACUCGCCGCGUAGUCCAUCAAUGAGCGUUUCGAUGUCACUGGUACAGGGUGGUGCUGCCGGUGGUGCGCCACAGGGCGCCAGCGCAAUCUUGGCCGCAGCGGCUCCCUACUAUCAGCCGCCGGCAGUUCCCCAGGAUGUCCAGCCGGAUCGUCCCAUCGGCUAUGGAGCAUUCGGAGUUGUCUGGGCUGUCACAGAUCCUCGGGAUGGACGACGCGUGGCCUUGAAGAAGCUGCCAAAUGUGUUCCAAUCGUUGGUCUCAUCGAAACGCGUUUUUCGCGAGCUGAAAAUGCUCUGCUUCUUCAAGCACGAAAAUGUUCUCUCGGCCCUGGACAUUCUACAGCCACCGCAUUUGGAUUUCUUUCAAGAAAUCUAUGUGAUAACGGAGCUGCUGCAAUCGGAUCUGCACAAGAUAAUCGUAUCGCCGCAGCACCUCUCCGCCGACCACAUCAAGGUGUUCCUGUACCAGAUCCUGCGCGGCCUCAAGUAUCUGCACUCGGCCCGCAUCCUGCAUCGCGACAUCAAGCCGGGCAAUCUGCUGGUCAACUCGAAUUGCGUGCUCAAGAUCUGUGAUUUCGGAUUGGCCCGCGUGGAGGAGCCGGACCAGGCCAAGCACAUGACCCAGGAGGUGGUCACCCAGUACUACCGCGCCCCGGAGAUUCUGAUGGGCGCUCGUCAUUACUCGUCGGCGGUGGAUGUGUGGUCGGUGGGCUGCAUUUUUGGCGAGCUCUUGGGUCGUCGCAUCCUGUUCCAGGCGCAGAAUCCCGUGCAGCAGCUGGAGCUGAUCACCGAACUGUUGGGCACGCCCACCAUGGAGGACAUGCGGCACGCCUGCGAAGGUGCCCGCACCCACAUGCUGCGCCGGGCGCCCAAGCCGCCAUCCUUCUCGGUGCUCUACACACUCAGCUCGCACGCCACGCACGAGGCUGUGCACCUGCUCUGCCAGAUGCUGGUUUUCGAUCCGGACAAGCGCAUUUCUGUGACAGAUGCCCUGGCGCAUCCAUAUCUGGAUGAGGGACGUCUGCGGUACCACUCGUGCAUGUGCAAAUGCUGCUUCACUACCUCGGCCGGAAUGCGCCAGUACACGGCCGACUUUGAGCCCUCCGCCGGCCAGCCCUUCGAUGAUCUAUGGGAGCGCAAGCUCACCUCCGUGCAGCAGGUCAAGGGAGAUGCACAAGUUCAUAGCCGAGCAACUGCAAACGGGUCGUGUGCCGCUUUGCAUCAAUCCACAGAGUGCGGCCUUCAAGAGUUUCGCCAGCCAAUGAGAAUGAGAAAAUCUACUACUACUACCACUACCACUACUACCACUACAACUUGCACUGCUGCUCCUGCCGCUGCUCCAAUCCGCCGCCGCCUACUGUUGCCUACUGCCUUCGAAAACCGAUCCAGAUCCAGAUCGAGAUCGUUAUCCAGAUCAAGAUACUAGGCGCGCGAGACUACUCUCACUAGAACGAAUCGAUAUAGAAACGCAGAAGUCACAAGAUUCUAUCUACUAUCCGUAAUCUGCCGAAUGAUUGAAGAAUGAUAAUGAAUGAAAAUGCAAUGAAAAUGAAAAGAAAAUGAAUAUGAAAGAAAUGCCAAGAUAAAGAAACAAUUAUACAGAUACAGAAUAUGAGGCCUCGGGGCGGCAACUGUCUCUCUACUCCUUCUUAGUUCGACCGUGGCACAUCCUUCGGAGCUGCCGCCGUCGCCUCAUCAAUGGGAAUGACGGCAAAAUGAGGCUAUUGCUGCCUAAAAUCGAAACAAAAGCAACACAGCCAAACGAUAGAACCUCGCCGCCGAAAAGAAGGAGGAGAGGAAUCGAUUCCCAGUCCAAAAAAAAACCCUCGAAAAGCCGCGAAAAUCCAACCCAACUAAACCCAGAGAUAACUCAGCCAGGAACAACGAUUGAAUAAUUUUUAAGCGCCAAACGGCUUUUAAGUGGGCCUUUGUCUGUUUGAAAGUUAAAGCAUUCCACCACCGAAAUUAACUAAAAGAAAACAAACAAAUAUUUAAUAAUACUAUAGACAAACAAAUAUGUAACGUAACUCAACUGAAACUAGUCUAAACUAAACAACAAAACUGUAGUUAAAGCAGCAGCAGCGACACAAAACCAUGCAAGUUUUAAGUGAAGAAAAAAUAUUACAAAAAUGUGUAACAAAAAGAGAGAGAAAGAGAGCGAGCAGCAGUAGAUUCUACGCACUACAAACAAAGCGUAGUUAAUAAUAUUAGUUUUUUUGGCAACAAAGCUAAAAUUUUGUUGUGCUUGACAAGAAUUGGAAGAAUUGAUCGAAAAUUCAAAUUAAUGGUAAAUAAAUACAACACAAAAUCGUUUUAUGUUAAGCUCCUAAGAAAUCUAUGUAUAUGUAAAUUAAUUAGCAACACAGACAGACAUCGUAUUCAUUAUAAACAAAUAUGCUUAACUAUUAAAUAUAUCGAUAAAUAUAUUUAAAAUAAAAUAGUAACAAAAUGCACUCAAAUCCGAAAUUUGUUUGCCAAAAUUUACCUCAAGCGAUUAACCAACCUUUUCAUCCGUUAAAAGGAUAAAUUCAUUUUCUGUUAGCUUACGACAAACAUAAUGAUGUGUAGCUACAGCUAAAUGAUUACUAAGCGCAAAGAAAACAAAUUCAUUUGAAAUUAUGCAUCUAUUUUCAUUUUCACAAACGUUUGAAGCUUCAAUUUUGAAACUGGUUUCUAGAUAUAUACUCUAAAUGUAUCUGACCACAAAAGGCGGUCAACACUAACUCAAUAUUAGAAAAACAAAAAUAUUUGAUGAAAUUAGUUCAAAGUUUCAACUGUCGACUGACUGAACAAAAAUUACAAUAUAAAUUAAUAUAAAUAUAAAUUAAACAAUUUCAACUUAAUUUAGUUAUGACAAUUUUCGCUUUGAUAAUAGUUUGUUAAGCUUUUUAAUCAUAUUUUUCAUAAAUGUAAACUAACAAAUAAACAAACCAUCAAAGGAAAAACCAACCAACAAGUGGACGACGCACUGCCCCCAGUGAAUGGUUCUGGCGGAUGAAGCCCAAUGGGACGGAAAUGGGGAAUACCAUUCCCCCUUUGGAGUCCCAAGGCGCCGCCCGAAUCAAUUCAAUUUUAGUUGAUAUGUAUACUUUGCUUUUAGUUGAUUACCAUGUAAUAUAGUUUAAUUUUCGACUAACUACACCUCUGUCUCUCUCAAUGCUCAUUGCUUUAGGCUAUAGCAAAGGUGCAGGACAGGAUCGGUUAUAGAGGAUCAAUUGCUAAGGCCUCGGCUGCCCAGAACAUUAUAUAUGUUAAGACUGAGUUUUCUCAUUUGACGACGACGAUUGAUUAAUUGAGGAUAUGCAAUACGAAAUUCACACUUGAUUUUUUGGAAGAGUCAAAAUUAUGAUCUAGCUUAAGCACUUAAACAAAAUUAAAAAUGUAUACCGUAAAUGUGUAUUUUGAAUGUCUUUUGUCUUUAAUGUUUAGAGAAAAAAACAAUGCAAAAUAUCUAAUCGAAAACAAAUAAAAAUACGAUAACGAUGUAGAAGAAGCUGUCGAAGAAAUUGAAACUGAAGCUAAACUAAACUUUUCCUCAAUUCUCUUAACUGUGCUGCUUUCUUAUGUAUGUAGUUAUUAAUUAUAUCAUUAUAUAUAUUAACCGAUAUAUAUAUAUAUAUAUACAUACA